AGCGAACGCUGGCGGCAGGCCUAACACAUGCAAGUCGAACGAACUCUUCGGAGUUAGUGGCGGACGGGUGAGUAACACGUGGGAACGUGCCUUUUGGUUCGGAAUAACUCAGGGAAACUUGUGCUAAUACCGAAUGUGCCCUUCGGGGGAAAGAUUUAUCGCCAUUAGAGCGGCCCGCGUCUGAUUAGCUAGUUGGUGAGGUAACGGCUCACCAAGGCGACGAUCAGUAGCUGGUCUGAGAGGAUGACCAGCCACACUGGGACUGAGACACGGCCCAGACUCCUACGGGAGGCAGCAGUGGGGAACCUUGCGCAAUGGGCGAAAGCCUGACGCAGCCAUGCCGCGUGAAUGAUGAAGGUCUUAGGAUUGUAAAAUUCUUUCACCGGGGACGAUAAUGACGGUACCCGGAGAAGAAGCCCCGGCUAACCUCGUG
rnacentral:rRNA from 1 species